rnacentral:rRNA from 1 species
UACAGAGGGGGCAAGCGUUGUUCGGAAUUACUGGGCGUAAAGGGCGUGUAGGCGGUCCGCUAAGUCUGAUGUGAAAGCCCGGGGCUCACCCCCGGAAGGGCAUUGGAAACUGACGGACUCGAGUCCCGAAGAGGAGGGUGGAAUUCCUGGUGUAGCGGUGAAAUGCGUAGAUAUCAGGAGGAACACCGGUGGCGAAGGCGGCCCUCUGGACGGUGACUGACGCUGAGACGCGAAAGCGUGGGGAGCAAACAGG